rnacentral:lncRNA from 1 species
UCGCUGCCAGCCUGCAACAUCCAUCUCCAAAGGUAGCGGUCAAUUACGACCUCUCUAUCGCCAUCACCAGCUUUAGUGUCGGCAGGCAAGAUGGCCGAAUUCUUCAGCUGACAAGGCAAGCAGAGAUCGACAAUUUUUACCGCCUUCAACACACAGCUACAACUCGUGCAUUAUUUGAGUGCAUUACCACAUGACGUAUAUAUGUAGGCAUUCACCUUCUUCCUCAUGUAUAUAUGUAUGUAUAUAUAUAUAUAUAUAUAUAUAUAUAUAUGUAUAUGUAUGUGUGUGUGUGUAUGUGUGAGUAUAUAUAUAUAUAUGUUUUUCGGUUAUACUUUUCUUGUCUUCUCGGCGUUUGCUCUCUUCCAUUAUUCUUCCAGAACGCUAGUAUUCUCUGUAUAUUACCAUCCAAUUCUUUUUCCUCAUAACUCCAAUAUUUUAUCGUCCAUUCUUCUUUCCCACUUACUUUACAUUUCUUUCAUUCUUUUCUGGUUUUAUUCCAUAACAUUUCCCUUAUUCAUUCGUGCACAUUCUUUUCUUGUACAUUCUGCCGAAGAAAUAUUUAAGAUUUAUAUAUUUAGGCUUUUCGUUAGUUGUCGUCUGGUGUUUCCUUCUCUAUAUUUUUCUUUCAAAUUCCUAUCUAUUUCAUUUUACCUCUUUCUUUCGUUCAAUAUGUCUUUAUUUUCGUUAAUCUUUAUAUAUUUUUAACUCCCUUUCUCUUUUAUAUAUAUAUAUAUAUAUACAUAUAUAUAUAUAUAUAUAUAUUUAAAUGCAAACAUACAGAUAUACAAUCAUUCUUAAUGUUUUCAUAGGUAUUUAUAUAUACAUAUAUACAUUCUAGUCUCUCCGUUUUCUGUCUUUUCCUGUCUUUAUGUUUACACAUUUAUAUAUAUGCAUGCCUAUAUAUAUAUAUAUAUAUAUAUAUAUAUAUAUAUAUAUUUAUAUACAUGUGUGUGUGUGUGUAUGUAUGUAUGUAUGUAUAAGUGUGCACGUGUGUGUGUGUGUGUGUGUGUGUGUGUGUGUGUGUGCAAACAAUAACAUAUAAAUGUAUAUGUAUAUAUAUGUAUGAAUAUAUAAGUGUGUAUAUGAAUGUAUUUAUAUGUCGGAGUGUGCAUGUGUGUGUGUGUGUUUGUGUAGGUAUGCGUUUGUGUGUGUGUCCUCUUCAGAGUGAAAAUAUGGUUUGAAUGGAGUCUUAUAAUUCUCUAUGCCUUGAUGCUCCUUCAAUACCUUUCUUUCCCCCUCUUAGCUUGGAACCCUUUUCAGAAACCCUUAAUUUUACCUAUCAAAAUAUUUUAUAACUUUUAUUCAUAUUUCUAUUUCAAAAACAGCGAUGCCGUCGCCAUUGUUGUUGUUGUGGUGGUGGUGGUUGUAGUGUUGUUGUUGUUGGUGGUGGUGGUGGUUAUACUUUCCCCGCUUUCUCACUUCCUUCUAUGUUUUCUCCGCCUUUCCUGUUCACUCUCUUUCUUUCUUUUGCUCAUUCCUUCGAAUUUCUUUCGCAUUGUUUUUCUUUUCCUCUUCUGUUUCCUUUCCUCUCUUUUCCUCUCUUUCUUCUCCUUCUUUCCUCUUCUCUGUCUCUCUUUCCCAUUUCUACUUGCAUCUCUUUGCGUUGAUCACUUUCCCUCAUUUUCUCCUCCGUUCUUCUUUUCCUCUCAUCUCCUUUCCUUCUUUCUUCAUUUCUUUCUCCUGUUAAGCAAAACUUAUAGAUUAUUCAAUUAUUUGCUUUCUUCCUCAUGUAACACAUGUUAUUUCAUUUCUUCAUUCUUACCAUCCACCUCACACUAUCACUCUCUCUUCUUCUAUCUUUUUCUUUCUUUCUCUCUCUCUCUCUCUCUCUCUCAGUCUCUCUCUCUUUCUCUCUCUCUGUCUCUCUCUUCCUCUUAAUUCAGCUGUCUUAUUAUCAUCGCUCAUUCUCAUUCACAACAAACACUUCACUAUCCUUUCUAAAUUUCAUAUAAUUGUUUAUCUUCAUUCCAGCCAUAAAACCAUCUUAAUUAUCUUCUUUCCUCAUUCAUUUGUGUCUUAAAAUCCUUCUCUUACUUUAUUCCUCAUUUCACUUCUUGUAUUUAAGUUGCUCCAAUAUAUUUUUUGUCUAUUUAGACAAAAAAUCGCAUUUUCAUUGAAAUUGUUUUCGUUUAUCUAUCAGGAGUGGCUGUUG